CGCUUUUUUAUGCCUUUAAUGCCAACUAAACAUUGCAGUUUUCUCCUAGAUUAAUUGGAUAUUUGGUAGAAAAUAUUUUUCUGUAUAUUUUAGGAGGUUUUUUUUAUGUUCUGAAGUUGUUCUAGAGGGAAAGGCAAGUAUAAUAAAAGCCUUAAGAGAUCAUUCAGGCCUGGUGCCUCCAGCAGGCCCAAACACGCUGGGCCUAUUCAUGCACUUGAAUUUAAAUUCUUCAGCAGCUUCCUGGACAAGUAAGAUCAUGAAAUCUGUCUUCAAAUAAUGUGAAAUCCCUUCUCCAGUGGUUUUUGGGACAGAUGUGCUUCUGCCUGAGCUCUCAGUGGGUUUUUUUCCCUCACCCACCCAGCCUAGGCUGCUGCUGCUGCUGGAAUGAAUUUCCUGGUGCCGAUGGCGUGAGUAAGGAAUUAAUUCAUGUGAUUAACGAGGGCCUUUGCUGCACAGCCAGGCUGAAUUGGUUUGGGCAGGAAUAAAUCUUUAAUGGUUUCUCUGGCCUCUCCUCUGCCCAGGUCACAGCUGGAUCGAUCCAGGGCAGGAUUCUCCCAUCCAUCCAAGCAGCAAAAUGGCUCCAAGGUGAAUUUAUUGUGGUCUUUAUCUGUCCAAAGAGCCUCCAAAAGGGCUGGGAUGGGGAUUUUGGGAAGUCAGGACAAGGGGAAAUGGCUUCAAACUGAGAGAGGAGAGGUUUAGAUGGGAUAUGAGGGAGAUAUUUUUGCCUUAGAUGGGAUAUGAAGGAGAAAUUUUUAGCUUUGAGGGUGGUGAAGCUCAUGGAAGUUGUGGCUCAACCUCAGUCUUGGAGCAACCUGGCUCAGUGGAAGGUGUUGGACAAAAUUAUCUUGAAUGUCCUUUCUUACCGAAAUAAUUCUAUGAUUUUAUGAUUAAAAAAAGACCUAAAAAUCAUCAGUUUCAGUCAGCAUUUAUUAUGAUUAUAUCGAAUACCUGGUACUUGUCAUCAAUGUGCUGCUUGAAUAAGAACCCCUGGUGAAAUAAGUGCCAUGUGCAUUAAGGAUCUUCCCACUGCUGUAAUUUUCAGUAAUUUCAGUAUUUUCCAUGCAAACAAAUAUUCUUUGUGUGUGUUUAUUUAUUUGAACUAAAAAUUAGCCCUUUUCUGCUUCUACACAGACUGCAUUUAAAUUCUGUUUUAUGGCAACUCCAUCAUUCAUUAUUUUAGUAGUUGUCAAUUCAAUUUUUGCUGUGUCCACAGAUGGAAAAUGCUUCUUCAAAGCUUCCAUUUUUACCACUGCAGGAAGGGAAUGCACAGUGAACCAGAGAGCUUAUCUUCCACUACUGAGGGUUUUGGGUUUGUUUGUGUAAGACUGGAAAUGAAUUAGGAGGUCAGGAAAAGCUCAUGUGAAAGUGUUUGCUGGUUUUGAUAUCCAGUAGUCUAAACAGAAACAUUUACACACAGAUCUGGAAGCCUGAAGUACAAACAUGGAGCAGCAGCCCUGGUAAACUAAAUUCUGGAAUCCACAUAUUUAUUCCAGUAGUUUAAAUUUGUUUGAAAGUGCCAGUAAAUCAGUUGCACUUCUGAAGCUUUGUGUACAAUAAAGCUGAUGUGGUAUUCAGUGUUUUAUCUGUUUUGUAAUUCCAGUUAAUCACUGCUGGGUUUAAACAGCUCAGUGCUGUGCCAGGGGUUUGAAAGAUUGUGCAGAUAGAAUUCUCCUCAGAUCAGUUCCUAUCCCAACAAAAGCAAGUGAAUGUUCAGUGGUGAUGCUUUCAUACCAAGGACAUGCAAAUAUGGGAGGCAGAUGUUUUGUAAUAAUUUGGCCCCAUGAGAAGAGAAAAGAGCUUCAAAACAUAAUUCCUAUAUAAAUGGUUAUUUGAAUGUUUUGAAGUUUAAAUGAAACCUGCAAUAAAAAAAAGGUUAAGCUAAUAAACCCUAAACUUUAGAGUGCAAUUUUUUCCUAAUCAUAUGUUGGAGAGGGCAGCUGUGAGCACUUUCUUCUGUUUGGUAAUAAGAUAGUUUUAUGCUAAUUACACUUAAGAUUUUUUUUUUCCAAGACAGGUUUGCAUAAUCUCUUCGGAAGAGGCUGAUUAAGCAGACAGCAUUAGCCUUGGACUGGGAAAACUUCAUUCUUUCCUUUCUUUCUCCCUGUUUUUCAGAGUGCUGCUUAAAAUGGAACAUAAUUCUAAAGUUUCUGAAACAGAUUUGCAGUGUCUGCAAAAAACUGAUUUAAUGGAAGAGGAGUUGGAGUCAAGUGAGGAUUUCUGGGUGGUUGCGUGAGGGAUUACAGAGCUGCAUCACGUGUGUUCCUCCUAAAUCUCCUUUAUCCGUCUGCCCCUAAUCUGAUUUUAAGUCUGGACUAGUAGGAAAAGCUUUGUGGAAAAUCAGAGGGAGAAGGUUGUUCCUGAAAAACCUUCUCCCUAAAAGUUUAGCUCACAGUAGGAACCUACUGCAAGAUUUGGUUCAGCAUCACAAGAAACCCCACUGGAGGUAUCAGUUAAAACACAGUUGCUGUCUGGAUUUGGCCAACUGCAAUUUCUCUCUCUUUUUUUUUUUUUAUUACCAUAAAAAAAUAUGUCUUAAUAGUUAAUGUUAAUAUUUAGUUUAUGUGGCAAAAGAUAAGAGGCAUGAAUGGGAAUAAUUUCCAGCCAAGUAAAAAUUCUACUAAAUAGUUUUGUUCUUUUUUAUUAAAAAAGCAGAGUUUAAAAUUUCUUUUUAAAUACAGUAAAACUUUGAUAUUUU